GUGGGGAAUAUUGCACAAUGGGCGAAAGCCUGAUGCAGCAACGCCGCGUGAGCGAUGAAGGCCUUUGGGUCGUAAAGCUCUGUCCUUGGGGAAGAAAAAAAUGACGGUACCCUUGGAGGAAGCCCCGGCUAACUACGUGCCAGCAGCCGCGGUAAUACGUAGGGGGCAAGCGUUAUCCGGAAUUAUUGGGCGUAAAGAGUGCGUAGGUGGUUUUGUAAGCGCGGGGUGAAAGGCAAUGGCUCAACUAUUGUAAGCCCUGCGAACUGUGAGACUUGAGUGCAGGAGAGGAAAGCGGAAUUCCUAGUGUAGCGGUGAAAUGCGUAGAUAUUAGGAGGAACACCAGUGGCGAAGGCGGCUUUCUGGACUGUAACUGACACUGAGGCACGAAAGCGUGGGGAGCAAACA
rnacentral:rRNA from 1 species